rnacentral:rRNA from 1 species
UUCUGGCUCAGGAUGAACGCUAGCGGCAGGCUUAACACAUGCAAGUCGAGGGGCAUCGGGAGUAGCAAUACUGCCGGCGACCGGCGCAAGGGUGCGUAACGCGUGAGCAACAUGCCCGUAUCAGGGGGGAUAAUCCAUGGAAACGUGGUCUAAUACCCCAUAGUAAUUAUGUAAGGCAUCUUAUAUAAUUUAAAGCUUUGGUGGAUACGGAUUGGCUCGCGUGACAUUAGCUGGAUGGUAAGGUAACGGCUUACCAUGGCUACGAUGUCUAGGGGUUCUGAGAGGAAGGUCCCCCACACUGGAACUGAGACACGGUCCAGACUCCUACGGGAGGCAGCAGUGAGGAAUAUUGGACAAUGGAUGGAAAUCUGAUCCAGCCAUGCCGCGUGCCAGGAAGACGGCCCUAUGGGUUGUAAACUGCUUUUGUAUGGGAGCAAUAAGGGCUACGUGUAGUCCGAUGAGAGUACCAUACGAAUAAGCACCGGCUAACUCCGUGCCAGCCGCGGC